CAAGUCGAACGAUGAAACUUAAAUGAUCUCUUCGGAGUGAACUUAAGUGGAUUAGUGGCGGACGGGUGAGUAACGCGUGAGUAACCUGCCUUAGAGAAGGGGAUAGCCUUUGGAAACGAAGAAUAAUACCCUAUGACACCAAAACCUCGCAUGAGGAUUUGGUCAAAGAUUUAUCGCUCUAAGAUGGACUUGCGUCUGAUUAGUUAGUUGGUGGGGUAACGGCCCACCAAGACAGCGAUCAGUAGCCGGCUUGAGAGAGUGUACGGCCACAUUGGGACUGAGACACGGCCCAGACUCCUACGGGAGGCAGCAGUGGGGAAUUUUGCACAAUGGGGGAAACCCUGAUGCAGCGACGCCGCGUGAUUUAGAAGGCCUUCGGGUUGUAAAAAUCUUUUCUAUGGGAAGAAAAUGACAGUACCAUAGGAAUAAGGACCGGCUAAUUACGUGCCAGCAGCCGCGGUAAUACGUAAGGUCCGAGCGUUGUCCGGAAUCAUUGGGCGUAAAGGGUACGUAGGCGGGUAAGCAAGUUAGAAGUGAAAUCCUAUAGCUCAACUAUAGUAAGCUUUUAAAACUGCUCAUCUUGAGGUAUGGAAGGGAAAGUGGAAUUCCUAGUGUAGCGGUGAAAUGCGCAGAUAUUAGGAGGAAUACCGGUGGCGAAGGCGACUUUCUGGCCAUAACCUGACGCUGAGGUACGAAAGCGUGGGUAGCAAACAGGAUUAGAUACCCUGGUAGUCCACGCCGUAAACGAUGAGUGUUAGGUGUCUGGAGUAAAUCUGGGUGCCGCAGCUAACGCAUUAAACACUCCGCCUGGGGAGUACGCGCGC
rnacentral:rRNA from 1 species